CCCUUAGAUGUCCUGGGCCGCACGCGCGCUACACUGAGUGUCUGAGAUCCGAGUCUGCCUGGUCCGGCAAGGUCUAGGUAAUCGCUAAAAGACACAUCAUGCUUGGGAUAGAUUAUUGCAAAUAUUAAUCUUGAACGAGGAAUUCCUAGUAAGCGCAAGUCAACAGCUUGCGUUGAUUACGUCCCUGCCCUUUGUACACACCGCCCGUCGCUACUACUGAUUGGAUGUUUAAGCGAGGUUCUCGAACUGCUAGCGACUUAGCUUCGGUGAGGUCGCAGUGUGGGAAGUGAACCUAGCUUUGGUGUCUAGAGGAAGUAAAAGUCGUAACA
rnacentral:rRNA from 1 species